GGGAAAAAGGGGGGGGGUCUAUUAUGUUUUUUUUUCAUACAGGAGGAAGACGUCAAAGCAAAAAAAAAAAAACCAACAAAACAAAAUAAAAUAAUAGCCUGUCAAGACGUCCUUAUAUCAUAAAAAUUUGGUCUAAUUUUGGGAUAAUACAUUUAACUUCCUUUGAUGUCGGGGAGGGGAUAAGUUUUGACGAUUAAUUAUUCUUGAAACUAACAAUAAUUAUUUCUUAUUGUUACUUUGUUAAGCGAGCGCGAUGUGUGGU
rnacentral:lncRNA from 1 species